rnacentral:rRNA from 1 species
CCCAUUCGCCCGGGAACUAUGAGCAUCAGCUUCAAACCCAAAGGACUUGGCGGUGCUUUAGACCCACCUAGAGGAGCCUGUCCUAGAACCGAUAACCCCCGUUCAACCUCACCACUUCUUGCCAAACCCGCCUAUAUACCACCGUCGUCAGCUUACCCUGUGAGGGAUUAAUAGUAAGCUUAACUGGCACAGCCCUAAACGUCAGGUCGAGGUGUAGCGCAUGAAGUGGGCAAGGAGAUGGGCUACAUUUUCUGACCCAGAAAACUACGAAAGGAGCAAUGAAAAAUCUCCAGAAGGAGGAUUUAGCAGUAAUUAGGGAAUAGAACGCCCUGCUG